AAGAGUUUGAGUCGAGAGUGAUCUUGGCCCUUACACAUCCGAGUCUAUGUCUUUUUCAUAUCAUUUUACUCUGUGUAUAAGAAUGUUUUCUAAGGCAUUAUUAAUGCCUUUAAAUCAUAUACAACUUUCAACAACGGAUCUCUUGGCUCUCGCAUCGAUGAAGAACGCAGCGAAAUGCGAUAAGUAAUGUGAAUUGCAGAAUUCAGUGAAUCAUCGAAUCUUUGAACGCACCUUGCGCUCCUUGGUAUUCCGAGGAGCAUGCCUGUUUGAGUGUCAUGAAAUUCUCAACCUUUGUUACUUUUUUUGUUUCAAAGAGUCUGGAAGUGGAGGUUGCUGGCUUUUGUUGAAAGAGUCGGCUCCUCUGAAAUACAUUAGUGGGACCCAUCGUUGAUUAGCUCCCUGGUGUGAUAGUUAUCUACGCCGUGGCUCAUCACGAUAUUGUGUGGUUCAGCUUUCUAACGAGACAACAACAACUGUC
rnacentral:rRNA from 1 species